UCCUUCUCUAAUUUUUCUAUUAAAAAAGAGACAUAGAAUUGUAUUUUACUAGUCACAUACACAGAAGUAGUUACUUCACUAAUUACUCAUAUGUUGGUAUGAUGAGAAAUCUAUGUUUUUUCAAGGUCAAGUAAAAUAAGCAUCUAUUUAAUGACUUCAGUACAUUUGGGUGUAUAAUUAUUGAAUAGAAGAGGAUGGAUUGUUUCAUUAAAAAUGGAAAUGCUUCAGAAGGUCUGUGAUUCAGAAGAGAGUGCAGGAGAGGCUUCAAAAGUAUUUGGGCUGAGGUUUUUAAGGAGAUAGAGAGAAGUAAUAACAUCUUGAAAGAGGAUACUAGCUCAAAACAUUAAGUACUAUGGAUAACAUGAUAUGUAUUGUCUCUUGUCAAAAUUUUGUAGGAUCGAAUGCAAACCUUUUGUGAGUAACAGACUGUCUGGGCUACUGGAAAUAGAUGAAUGGAUGAGACUGUCUGUAAUGGUGGACAUCAGCAUCUUAGGAUCAACAGAAGCAAACAUUGCAGCUGAUAACUUUUACCUUGUCUGUGGACUUGAGUGGCCUGGAGAUUUUGGAAGGAAUCAAGUGUUGGAUAUAAUGGUUCCAGAAAGUGGAAGACAGAAGUGGAUGUUGCGUUGCAUGUUGUGCUCUCAGAAAAGCAAACAUCUUAGCAGUCAUGGGCAGCAGAAGAAGUCCACUGGAAUGUGGAAACAUGCACAAGCCUUAAGAUAUGAAUAGCUGAGAUGAAGAGAAACCUUUACUGGAACACAUCACGUCAUCAGAAUCCCCUCAUUGCUCACCUUUUCAAAAACUGUUGGUUCUAGACAACAGUUGAGAAUAAAUGCUUCUAAUUCCUCCCCUGCA
rnacentral:lncRNA from 1 species